rnacentral:rRNA from 1 species
AGGACGAACGCUGGCGGCGUGCUUCAUACAUGCAAGUCGAACGAGAAAUCUACUUCGGUAGAUGGAAAGUGGCGGACGGGUGAGUAAUAUGUAGAGAAUCUGCCCUAGAGAGGGGGACGAACCGUUGGAAACGACAGCUAAUACCCCAUAUGAGCGUACCUGAAAUGGUAUUCUUGAAAACUCCGGUGCUCUGGGAUGAGUCUGCAUCUGAUUAGCUAGUUGGGGUGUAAUGGACCACCAAGGCGACGAUCAGUAGCUGGUUUGAGAGGAUGAUCAGCCACAAUGGGACUGAGACACGGCCCAUACUCCUACGGGAGGCAGCAGUAGGGAAUUUUGCGCAAUGGGCGAAAGCCUGACGCAAGCAACGCCGCGUGAUCGAGACGCUUUUCGGAGUGUAAAGAUCUGUCACAGGGGACGAACGAUGACGGUACCCUGAGAGGAAGCACCGGCUAACUCCGUGCCAGCCGCCGC